UUCCUGGUGGUCUAGUGGUUAAGAUUCAGUGCUUUCACUACUGUGGCCCAGGUUCAAUCACUGGUCUGGGAA
rfam:Sus scrofa isolate TJ Tabasco breed Duroc chromosome 14, whole genome shotgun sequence.